rnacentral:lncRNA from 1 species
CCUCCCAGCAUGCCUGGCGAGGCGCGCACCGCGCUGGCCCUCUCUCCUGGGACACGCACCGCCUCCAAUCCUGGUUUAUGCUGGGAUUGUAGUCAGGCAGCCCUGUGAGCAAGUAAGAGACUACAGCUGCGAGCGAAUAAGAGACUACAGCUCUCAGAUACAGAUACAUCGAGCAGAGGUCCCUCCUCCUCCGCGUCCCUCCAGGCGUCCCGUGUCGUUUGGCGGUGGGUGGGGGAGCUUGGCUGUUUCCAAACCUUUCCUGCCUGUCAGGAGACAGCUUGAGCAGGGCCGCUGGUCUCACCUGUUUUUCAGAUUAACUCUUAAGUACUCCACGGCUACAUGCUCCUGAAGCUGUUAUAGGCCCAGCCUCAGAUCUGUGCAGGGCGGAUGCACAAGAGCAGAAUCUCCGUGGACAUCUUUCUGGAGCAUCAAUUUUACUGCAAGAUUUUGAAGAAACACAUUUAAUUGAUUUUCAAGGAUUGCAGAAACCGUGAAUGAGGAGGGCUGACUCUAUCUAUGUUUGGAGUCUGUGAAUAUGAACUCUUCCUAUGUUGGUAAAUGGAAAUUUCUUUCACCAAAUGGCUGAACUGCUUUUUCACUGGCAUGUUCAAAAAACUUACAAGAAGAAGGACAAGAACUGAGAAAGAGAAAGGAUAAGAACUGAACAUUGGUGGGAGGCUGAGACAGGUGAAUCACUUGAGGUCAGGAGAGCGAGACCAGCCUGGCCAACGUGGUGAAACCCCGUCUCUACUAAAAGUACAAAAAUUAGCUGGGCAUGGCAGUGGGCACCUGUAAUCCCAGCUACUGGGGAGGCUUAGGCAGGAGAAUCACUUGAAUUCGGAAGGUGGACGUUGCAGUGAGCCGAGGUGGCACCACUGCACUCUAGCUCGGGCGACAGAGGGAGACUCCAUCCAAAAAACAAAACAAAAAAAACGAAACAAAAAACAUUGGCAAGUGGCACAUUUUCACAAACUAGAAGAGUGGACUUGUAACAAGCACUCUGAUAGAAAGUCAUGGUUCUUUCCUGCAACUGUCUUUUAAAAAUACUGUGAUUUUCAGAAAAGAAAAAAAAAAGAUAUAAUAGGUUAUAAAUUCAUUAGAGAAGAGAGAAAAUAAAUAAUCCCCAGAAGUAAAUUGUCAGCCAGUUUCAAGGUAAAAUGUAGACACAUUAUCCUUGAUCUUUCUGAAUAAUUUUACAGCUUAGGGUAUAGGAGCUUCUAUCACUGCAGAACCAGGGUCACCUGUGGAAAGUCCCUGGUGAAGUCCGCUCCCUUCCAGCCUGUUCCUCAGGCCCAGCAGUAAUGAGUUGUUCUUCCUCCAAGUCAUUCCGUUCAUUGGCAGCAAACCCUGAUAUUUUGGAUAGUAGUUGCUUUUGAUCUUAGAUUUUAACAGAAAGUUUGAUGAAAAGUCUUCAAGACUUACAAGCAUGACCCUCACUUCAGUCAGUCAGUCUGCCCCAGAGGUCCUUGAUUCAACAUAUAGAGAUGGGCAUUUUGAGCAUGUCCUUAAGGCUGAGGUGCAGCCCUAUGGCACAGACUCAUUCUGAAAGAAGCCCAAGUCCCACCCUGAGCUCUCUGUCUCCCAUGUGUGGGCUUAUCAGGGAAGACAGAAGCCCAGAGACCCCUGCACUUGGGGAUCGGCCAUAGGAGCUGCUUCCUGGGUGGGGAGAUGGGAGCUAGCAGCUCAGAAUGGGGCCAUAAGGUAAGUUCCAAACAGCUGUGUCACAGAGUAUGUCAGCAGAACUUUGUGACAUCAGUUGCAAAGAGAGGGAGCAUGUGAAGGACAAAGCCCUGAGUGAUGACAUAGCCCAUUCCGGGGAAGGGAAGAAAUUAGCAUCCUAAGGUUAUAAUAUAGAUAACCAAUGUGCAACAACUACAAUAACAAAAAUUUAACUGCCAAAGAAAAUUAGGAAUAUAGAGCAUCUCAGAAAAAACUCGGUUUAUGUUAGCUACUUCUACAAAACCAUAUAUAUAAUAAUUUUUUGUUUUGUUUUGUUUUUUGAGAUGGAGUCUUGCUCUGUCGCUCAGGCUGGAGUGCAGUGGUGCGAUCUCAGCUCACUGCAACCUCCGCCUCCCGGGUUCAAGCAAUUCUCUGCCAUAGCCUCCCGAGUAGCUGGGAUUACAGGCACCCACCACCACACCUGGCUAAUUUUUGUAUUUUCAGUAGAGAUGGGGUUUCACCAUCUUGGCCAGGUUGGUCUUGAACUCCUGACUUCAUGAUCCACCUGCCUCAGCCUCCCAAACUGCUGGG